AAAUAUGUUUUUUAUAAAUUUGGUGUGAUGAAUAGUAUUACACCAAAUUUGAUAUAAUACUAUUCAUAUUACACCAAAUUUGGUGAGAUGAUAUCAAUUUUGAUGUUUUGUUGGAGAUUAAAUUACACCAAAUUUAGUGUUUUGGUAUUUUGUCGGAGAUGGCCUGAGACCAUUCAUUUCCCCCAGCUAGUUUUACAAAACCAAAAAUCUUAAGUGAUAAGGUAAAAUUUACAGUUAGACAUACUUUAUCUCUACCCUAUAUCACUCUAACAUACUUUUUCCAUGUCAAAUAUUUUCUUAUGUGCUAUUGUCUUAUUUACCUCCAAAACCAGAAAUCAAUUAGUUACAUUUUUCUUUUGUUUACCUUAAUCGUGAACCAGCUACUCUUUCUCUUAUCUCAAUAUCUAAAAGUCAAGUAGUUAUCUUUUUCUCUUCCAGUUUGACGAUUUCUUCUUCAUUCUCACCGCCGAAGAACAAAAAUCAUGGUGACUCCACGGUGUAUUCUCCUACAAGGAAAGAUAUGACAAAUCUUAACUACUUUACCCUAUUUUAUAGAUUGAUCUAGAUCCCCUUCUUUUUUUGCUGUUAUAGCGAAAUAGCAAAAGCCCCUGUCUCCUUCGAUUCGACGAAAACACAAUCCGCCGUCAAUUUCUCACCGGCAUUAAUUUCAAUUGCCGUUAGUUUCUCAAAACCACAACGAAUGAAACCUCCAACAGAGAGUCACCUCUUCACAUUCUCCAACAGAGAGUCACCCCAACCAUGUCUCCCCCAACCACGCCUCGACCAUCCACUACUUUCCCAACCACAUUUCACACAGCCACACUUCACCCACACGCCUACUCCUGUUUCAACUCUUCACCCAACCACAUGUUUUCUGUCCACACUACCAUCAACCAUACUUCAUCCCACCACGAUCCACCAGACCACCUUCCAACGCACCAAGCUCCACCAGCCAAAAUAAUACCAAUCCAGCCUUACCACACGUUUCAUGAACAUUGUUUUUCCACAACAAGGAAAGAGAUGAAACCUUAGCAAUGACUACACAUUUAUGUCUUUUCUUUUUAGUAGAUUUGUACUUGCUUUAACAUUAGUCAUCCGAUUUGUUUUUACAUUCUUUAAUCUAACGGUCCAAAAAAAAAAUCUCAUUGUUGAAUAAAUCUACCAAUUAAUUGUAACAGAAAGAGACAAACUAUUAUUUA